AAGUCGUAACAAGGUUUCCGUAGGUGAACCUGCGGAAGGAUCAUUAGUGAUUGGCCCACCGGCCUUUAACAAAAAUCUAUCCAAUACCUCUGUGAACCGUGACCCGACCCCUCGCGGGGCUCGGGACUUUAACAUAACCAAAAACAUCAGUGUAACGAACGUCAUGACAAAUUUAAUAGAAAUAAAACUUUCAACAACGGAUCUCUUGGCUCUC
rnacentral:misc_RNA from 1 species